rnacentral:lncRNA from 1 species
UUUCCUCUCCUCUUGGUUCUGCUUUCCCCUUCAUUUUCUGCCGCACCACUCCAGCCACCGCUCCACUCAUCAUCUUCACCAUUCCUCACGCCACAUCACGUCCACCUCAGCGCCACCUUCAUCCCCUCAUCUCAUCUUCAUUACUCCAUCAUCCCACCACCAACCAGCACCUCCAUCUCCCCCCUUGGCCACACCAUAGCUGCCAACGCCACCGUCCAGCACCACCAAACAGCCACCAACUCCCCCCUUGGCCACACCAUAGCCACCAACGCCACCGUCCAGCACCACCAAACCGCCACCAACUCCACCCACCGGCGCCACCACUACCAGCUUAGUCACCCCAUCUCAGCCCGCCACCUCCACCAAGACCAGCCCCAAGCCGAGCUCCCCUUUUGGCCGAGAGCUUGGAGGGAUUUUCACCACCGCUGUUGAAUUCCGUUCAAGCUAUGGCUGUUUCAUGUUUUUGUCGCCGUCGCCGUGAGCCCGCCGUUGUCGGAAACCGUGAGUUAACCCUCUAAUCGUUGAUUAGACAGUUAAUUAUGCUUAGGGGUGUUAGAUUAGUGCUAAUGAUGGUUAAAUUAGUGCUAAGGAGGAUUAGUCUUAAUUAAGCUUGGUUUAGUUUAAUUGAGAUUAAGAUUAGUUUAGAUUAAUUUUAAUUGCAAUUAGUCUAAGUAAUUACGAUUAUAUUAAUUAAUCAUGAUUAUGUUAAUUAAUUUGGUUUAGUUUAAUUAAUUGUCAUUUAUUUAUUUAUAAUCAUAAUUUCAUUAAUUAAUUACAACUAGCGUAAUUAGUGACAGAUUGGUCGUUACGUAGAAUUUUAUGCUCGUUUUUUUGGAUGAAAUUAUGCGUGAAUUUGAUGGCUUGCGUGUAUAGUAUUAUGCGUUUAAUUGAAAGAUAAAAAUAAUGGAUUGGUGGCGCUUCUUGGGACGUCGCAAAUUUAAUCGGCCGCUAAGGGAUGUGAGCGUACUCAGGGUUUGGGGCAUGACAAUAUAUAUACAUAUUUAUUGAACCAAAAAUGAUCAAUUUUUGGUCAUUAUCAACAGGGGUUAGCCAUAGUGAGAGCAGAGUUUGGUCACAAUGAACAAAACAAUUGACACCACAUAAUUCAUCCACAACAUUUUUUAACAAUUCAAAAAAAGUUGGUAAGUCAUGAAUUUAUUACAAUGCUGGUAAAUCUAUCAUACUCUUUGGACAUUAUUUAUGAGAGUUGUAAAAUUUUAGAAGAGUUGAUCAUUUACUAUUUCAUCUGAAAGUUGGUAAAUUUCCUAAUGAUGUUCAUAAAUUGCUAAUUUGUUUUCCGACAAUCAAAUUGAUAGUUACUCUUUUCAACCAACGAUUGUAGAAAUGUUCCAAUAAUAACUUCAUAAAUCUACCAACUACGAGACAUUUUUCAGAUCUUUCCUCGACGGGACCCGUCACUCUUGCCGACAGCGGGGCAAUUUUGACUAAAUGUUUGUGGGUGAAUAUAAUAAUCAGCGAGGAAGGACAAUCUGGUAAUAAUGACACGCGAGUUUUAACUUCUACACCAAUGUCAAUAAUCUCGUUCAUUGUAGAUCAGAGUUCCUAGACUCACCACUCUGGUGCUCUUAGGAUUUUAGAUUUUGACGAGAAAGCAAAUUAUUAUUUUAUUUUUCAAGAAAGC